AACGCGAAGAACCUUACCAGGACUUGACAUGACCAGGAAAGCGGCGGAAACGUCGUCCCCCCGCAAGGGGCCUGGCCACAGGUGUUGCAUGGCUGUCGUCAGUUCGUGUCGUGAGAUGUUGGGUUAAGUCCCGCAACGAGCGCAACCCCUACUGUGUGUUGUAUCACUCACACGGGACUGCCGAGAGAAACUCGGAGGAAGGUGGGGACGACGUCAAGUCAGCAUGGCCCUUACGUCCUGGGCUACACCCACGCUACAAUGGCCGGUACAACGGGCAGCGAAACCGCGAGGUGGAGCGAAUCCCUUAAAGCCGGUCUCAGUUCGGAUUGUAGGCUGCAACUCGCCUGCAUGAAGCCGGAGUUGCUAGUAACCGCCGGUCAGCAUACGGCGGUGAAUAUGUUCCCGGGCCUUGUACACACCG
rnacentral:rRNA from 1 species